CCUACGGGAGGCAGCAGUGAGGAAUAUUGGUCAAUGGCCGUAAGGCUGAACCAGCCAAGUCGCGUGAAGGAAGCAGGAUCUAUGGUUUGUAAACUUCUUUUAUAGGGGAAUAAAGGUAUCCACGUGUGGAUAUUUGCAUGUACCCUAUGAAUAAGCAUCGGCUAACUCCGUGCCAGCAGCCGCGGUAAUACGGAGGAUGCGAGCGUUAUCCGGAUUUAUUGGGUUUAAAGGGUGCGUAGGUUGUUUUUUAAGUCAGCGGUGAAAGUUUGUGGCUCAACCAUAAAAUUGCCGUUGAAACUGGAAGACGUGAGUGUGUUUGAGGUAGGCGGAAUGCGUGGUGUAGCGGUGAAAUGCAUAGAUAUCACGCAGAACUCCGAUUGCGAAGGCAGCUUACUAAGCCAUAACUGACACUGAAGCACGAAAGCGUGGGGAUCAAACAGGAUUAGAUACCCGAGUAGUC
rnacentral:rRNA from 1 species